UACAGAGGGGGCAAGCGUUGUCCGGAUUUACUGGGCGUACAGCGCGCGCAGGCGGUCUCAGACGUGCCGUGUGACAAGCCACUGCUUAACAGUGGAGGGCCACGGUAGACGCUGGGACUGGAGGCAGGGAGAGGGAUGUGGAAUACCCGGUGGAGCGGUGAAAUGCGUAGAGAUCGGGUGGAACACCAGCGGCGCAGGCGGCAUCCUGGUCCUGUACUGACGCUGAGGCGCGAGAGCGUGGGGAGCGAACCGG
rnacentral:rRNA from 1 species